GGAGGUGUGGCCGAGCGGACGAAGGCGCCGGUCUUGAAAACCGGUGGGCCCCUCGCGGGUCCCGUGGGUUCGAAUCCCACCGCCUCCG
rnacentral:tRNA from 1 species